AGGGAAUCUGUCACAACAUUCUCUUACGGAAGGUUCUUCCAGGGAAUCUGUCACAACAUUCUCUUACAGAAGGUUCUUCCAGGGAAUCGGUCACAACAUUCUCUUACGGAAGGUUCAAUGGUUUUUCAUAUUUAAACGAGUUUCUUUGACGUUUUAAACACAAUGGAUAUUUCUUUGCACGUAGAGAGUCUAGGAUUAUGAAGGUAUAUACAUUAAAUGAAUGUACAGUGACCUCACAUAGAUAGGAAAACUACAGUAGAGCUAACAAUGCAGUAAAAAUAUAUCUAAAUGUUCAGACAGAAAGUUCCAGGGUUAGAGAGAACAACCUCACUCUACAGACCAGGGUGAUAUGUUACAUAGCUGUGAACAGGACCUCGUUGGGUUGGCAAAUGGACAAAUGGGUAUUUUAACGGGCUAACAAGUAUUGGUAGCCGCUGCUGUCAUUAACAACACUGGACCUAUGUUUAAACUCAUGUCUAAAAUGGCAUCCUAUUCCCUACAUAAUGCACUACUUUAGACCGGGACCCUAUCCCCUAUAUAGUGCACUACUUUAGACCAGAGCCCUAUUCCCUAUGUAGUGCACUACUUUAGACCAGGGCCCUAUUCGAUAUAUAGUGCACUACUUUAGACCAGGGCCCUAUUCCCUACAUAGUGCACUACUUUAGACCAGGGCCCUAUUCCCUACAUAGUGCACUACUUUAGACCAGGACCCUAUCCCCUAUAUAGUGCACUACUUCAAACCAGAGCCCUAUUCCCUAUGUAGUGCACUACUUUAGACCAGAGCCCUAUCCCCUAUAUAGUGCACUACUUUAAACCAGAGCCCUAUAUAGUGCACUACUUUAGACCAGAGACCUAUUCCCUAUAUAGUGCACUACUAUAGACCAGAGCCCUAUUCCCUAUGUAGUGCACUACUAUAGACCAGAGCCCUUUUUCCCUAUAUAGUGCACUACUAUAGACCAGAGCCCUAUUCCCUAUGUAGUGCACUACUAUAGACCAGAGCCCUAUUCCCUAUAUAGUGGUACUACUUUAGACCAGGGCCCUAUUCCCUAUAUAGUGGUACUACUUUAGACCAGGGCCCUAUUCCCUAUAUAGUGCACUACUUUAGACCAGGGCCCUAUUCCCUAUAUAGUGCACUACUAUAGACCAGAGCCCUAUUCCCUAUAUAGUGCACUACUUUAAACCAGAGCCCUAU
ensembl:lncRNA